rnacentral:rRNA from 1 species
UACGUAGGGGCCAAGCGUUAUCCGGAUUUACUGGGCAUAAAGCGCAUGCAGGUGGUAGCGUAAGUCAGAUGUUAAAGCCUCCGGCUCAACCGGAGUUCGCAUUUGAUACUGCGUUACUAGAGAUCGGUAGAGGGAAAUGGAACUUAUAGUGUAGCGGUGAAAUGCGUAGAUAUUAUAAGGAACACCAGUUGCGAAGGCGAUUUCCUGGACCGAAUCUGACACUAAGAUGCGAAAGCGUGGGGAGCAAACGGG